rnacentral:rRNA from 1 species
CAGCCGCCACGGGAAUACGAAGGGUGCGAGCGUUAAUCGGAAUUACUGGGCGUAAAGCGUGCGUAGGCGGUUUGUUAAGUCUGUUGUGAAAUCCCCGGGCUCAACCUGGGAAUGGCAAUGGAUACUGGCAAGCUAGAGUGUGGUAGAGGAUAGUGGAAUUUCCGGUGUAGCAGUGAAAUGCGUAGAGAUCGGAAGGAACAUCUGUGGCGAAGGCGACUAUCUGGGCCAACACUGACACUGAGGCACGAAAGCGUGGGGAGCAAACAGGAUUAGAUACCCCUGUAGUCCCUGUCUCUUAUAA